rnacentral:rRNA from 1 species
UCUGGGCUAAAAAUAAACUUUCAUAAGAGUGAGUUGAUGUUGUUUGGUAAGGCUAAAAGAAAACAAUUACUCUACCAAGAAAUACUAACAUGUAAAAUGGGAGAUCUACCCAUUAGGUAUUUAGGAAUGCCUGUAUCUGAUUCCAGGAUCAGGAGCACACAUUGGAGUUGUGUGACAGACAAAAUUGAGAAAAGAUGUGGAUGUUGGCAGGGGAAAUUGUUGGGAUCUAUUGCUGGCAGGAUCACCCUGGUACAAGCUUGCCUGACUAAUAUUCCUUUGUUUAUGAUGUCCUUCUAUGCUGUUCCAAAAGGAAUCAUUAAAAAAGCUAAUUUUUUCAGGGCAAGACUGGUAUGG